rnacentral:misc_RNA from 1 species
GAUGAAGAACGCAGUGAAAUGCGAUAAGUAAUGUGAAUUGCAGAAUUCAGUGAAUCAUCGAAUCUUUGAACGCACAUUGCGCCCCUUGGUAUUCCGAGGGGCAUGCCUGUUCGAGCGUCAUUUUGACCACUCCCGCUUGCGGGGUCUUGGGCCUUCGCCUCUGGGCGGGCCUUAAAAUCAGUGGCGGUGCCGUCCGGCUCUAAGCGUAGUAAAUCUCCUCGCUAUAGGGUUCCGGAGGGAUGCUGGCCAACAACCCCCAACUUUUAAGGUUGACCUCGGAUCAGGUAGGGAUACCCGCUGAACUUAAGCAUAUCAAUAAGCGGAGGA